AGAGUUUGAUCCUGGCUCAGACGAACGCUGGCGGCACGCUUAACACAUGCAAGUCGAACGGACUUGAGAGGGCUUGCUCUCUUAAGUUAGUGGCGGACGGGUGAGUAACACGUGAGCAACCUGCCUUUAAGAGUGGGAUAACGGUCGGAAACGACCGCUAAUACCGCAUAACAUACACGAACCGCAUGGUUUGUGUAUCAAAGAUUUAUCGCUUAAAGAUGGGCUCGCGUCUGAUUAGCUUGUUGGUGAGGUAACGGCUCACCAAGGCGACGAUCAGUAGCCGUACUGAGAGGUAGAACGGCCACAUUGGGACUGAGACACGGCCCAGACUCCUACGGGAGGCAGCAGUAGGGAAUAUUGCACAAUGGAGGAAACUCUGAUGCAGCGAUGCCGCGUGAGGGAAGAAGGUUUUCGGAUUGUAAACCUCUGUCUUAAGGGACGAUAAUGACGGUACCUUAGGAGGAAGCUCCGGCUAACUACGUG
rnacentral:rRNA from 1 species